UGCCAGCUGUAAUCUAGCCUCAGGCUGAGAUCAUAGCAUAUUGAUGUAUUUUAUCUGACAUAAUACCUCUAGAGACACUGCAGUGCUAAAUGCAUGGGCUGCAGGAACGCGGUUGCUGCAUCAGUCCCAGGAGCCUCGCCUGGCUGUUAUGGAAAGCAGAUGGACACAUGCUCAGGAGUUGUGCAAGAGACCUUGGUCUGAAGCAAAGCUAUCAAGAAAGCAAUGAGUAAAGGUUGUGCUGCGUGCCGUGGCUCCUGCUGGAGGAAAAGGAGCUGCAGCCGUGCAGGGAAGGCCAGGCACGCUUUUGCAGGCUGAGUUCAGUGGGUACUUGCAGAGAGCAGCUCAGAAACGUGAUCCAGGGCUCAGAGAUCAGUCAGACCGACCGCUGGAGAACCACGUCCAGGCUUCAGGUCGUGCCACGUAUCCCCGCAGCCUCUUCAGAAGCUGGGCUCUGCAACUGAAGCCAAGACUUGCAGCUUUGCAGGGUGCUGCAGAUUAACGCCAAUGCAAGACUGGGCUCUCACUGCAGCUUCAACCCUUUAAUUAAAAUAACGUGGAACUAAAAGGGAGAAUUAGUUAAAAAUAACUCUCGGAAGCCCGGCUUGUCUUUUUAUUAGACUUGUCCUUGCUUUCUCAGCUGCUCUGAUAAGGAUAUUCUCCCUCUGGGAUGGAGAGAAUAAACUGGGAUGUAACUCAUUUGUUUGGGCAUCAUGUUAAUUAAUUUCUAUCACUAAUCCCUUCCCUGUGCUCUCCCUGCCGGUUUGCCUAGAACAGUCCUGUUCCAAGGAGAGGAUCGGCAGUUUUUACUGCUGGCAGUGAGGCGUUGGCACCCCGGGGCUGGGGGGCUUUGCGUAGCCCUGCGGAGCGGCGCAUCUGGGGAGCCCCCCCAGAGCCCAUCCUGAGCACCUGAAACUUCAGAGGAGGUUGGCUCUACCUGAACUGCAGCUUAGCUUUUCUGCGAGCCUGAAUGUGUGCUGGGCACCAUUCCCUAGAAUAAACCACCGUAAUCCU